AAACCAAACAAACCUGGAGAAAAGUAUGACCAGAUGUUAACAGUUGUUAACUCUGGGAAGGGGAACCAAGCUCUCAGCGGAAAGGCCAACAUCUAUUAAUACUUUCCCUUCUACCCAGAGGAGGAGCCCUUGGACUGGGCCUUGAAGGAGCGCAGGGUUGGGAGCCCUACAGCGAGGAACCUGGGACCAGGAACAGGAGGUGGCGUGGUCGUGAGACACAUACGCUUGUUUUAAGGAGAUAAUCAUGAGAGACAGGAGCAGAUGGAAGCCUGGAGGCAACAGGUCUGGUCUCAGUGAGAAGUCCUUGGUGCCAUUCUGCAGGACCCUGACAUGCUAGGCGCAUACACGAGGUACCAAACAUCAAAGAUACCCUGCGAGAUACAUUCUGGACUGGAACACAACUACAGCAACUACCAUAGCUAAAGUGAA
ensembl:lncRNA